rnacentral:ncRNA from 1 species
AAGAGCCCGGUGCGGGAAAGCCGCAAGCCGGGUUCUGUGGGGGUUCGGGCCACCAGUUGGGUGGUCCUACUACCCGGA